rnacentral:rRNA from 1 species
AGUGAACGCUGGUGGUAGGCCUAACACAUGCAAGUCGAACGGCAGCACAGUAAGAGCUUGCUCUUACGGGUGGCGAGUGGCGGACGGGUGAGGAAUACAUCGGAAUCUACUUUUUCGUGGGGGAUAACGUAGGGAAACUUACGCUAAUAUCGCAUACGACCUACGGGUGAAAGCAGGGGAUCUUCGGACCUUGCGCGAUUGAAUGAGCCGAUGUCGGAUUAGCUAGUUGGCGGGGUAAAGGCCCACCAAGGCGACGAUCCGUAGCUGGUCUGAGAGGAUGAUCAGCCACACUGGAACUGAGACACGGUCCAGACUCCUACGGGAGGCAGCAGUGGGGAAUAUUGGACAAUGGGCGCAAGCCUGAUCCAGCCAUACCGCGUGGGUGAAGAAGGCCUUCGGGUUGUAAAGCCCUUUUGUUGGGAAAGAAAAGCAGCAGGUUAAUACCCCGCUGUUCUGACGGUACCCAAAGAAUAAGCACCGGCUAACUUCGUG